rnacentral:tRNA from 1 species
ACUAUUUUGACAGAAAAAUGUAUUAAAUUUAGAAUUUAAUUAUAUGUUAAUAAUAACAUAGAUAGUA